UAGGGAAUCUUCGGCAAUGGACGAAAGUCUGACCGAGCAACGCCGCGUGAGUGAAGAAGGUUUUCGGAUCGUAAAACUCUGUUGUUAGAGAAGAACAAGGACGUUAGUAACUGAACGUCCCCUGACGGUAUCUAACCAGAAAGCCACGGCUAACUACGUGCCAGCAGCCGCGGUAAUACGUAGGUGGCAAGCGUUGUCCGGAUUUAUUGGGCGUAAAGCGAGCGAAGGCGGUUUCUUAAGUCUGAUGUGAAAGCCCCCGGCUCAACCGGGGAGGGUCAUUUGAAACUGGGAGAGUUGAGUGCAGAAGAGGAUAGUGGAAUUCCAUGUGUAGCGGUGAAAUGCGUAGAUAUAUGGAGGAACACCAGUGGCGAAGGCGGCUCUCUGGUCUGUAACUGACGCUGAGGCUCGAAAGCGUGGGGAUCAAACAGG
rnacentral:rRNA from 1 species